rnacentral:rRNA from 1 species
AGCGAACGCUGGCGGCAGGCCUAACACAUGCAAGUCGAACGGAGUGGCGGACGGGUGAGUAACACGUGGGCACGUGCCCUUUGGUUCGGAACAACUCAGGGAAACUUGAGCUAAUACCGGAUGCCAUUGGAGCGGCCCGCGUCUGAUUAGUUAGUUGGUGAGGUAAAGGGUCACCAAGGCGACGAGCAGUAGCUGGUCUGAGAGGAUGAUCAGCCACAUUGGGACUGAGCCACGGCCCAAACUCCUACGGGAGGCAGCAGUGGGGAAUCUUGAGCAAUGGGCGAAAGCCUGACGCAGCCAUGCCGCGUGAAUGAUGAAGGUCUUAGGAUAGUAAAAGUCUUUCACCGGGGACGCGGUACCCGGAGAGGAAGCCCCGGCUAACUUCGUGCCAGCAGCCGCGGUAAUUC